rnacentral:lncRNA from 1 species
GUGUUUACUUUCUGUAGCAGACAAAAAUGGAUGUUGUAGAGGAAACUGGCGGGCUGAUAAGGGAGCCCGCCAGUAUUCAGUACUCAACAGCUCCCGAUGUUCGCGAAGUUCCCGAUAGCCUUAGAAAAAAAAAACACGCGGUAUUAUCAUAACUGAACACUGAUUUCGCUUAAGUUAUUGGUUUUUCUCGUCAAACCAGUUAACCAGCCGUUUUUUAAAUAAACAAAAUAAGAUGCUGAUAGCGCACCAUCUUUGUUCUUUACGUUUAGUUAAAUUGGAAUUCGAUGAAAACUGGUUUGUCGCUAGAUGGUAUUGUGGACUAAGACAUCUAGCGGAGAAAUUUUGAACUUUUAUCGGGAUCCGUUUUUGCUGCAUGAUCAUGAAGAAUGGAUCGUGUGUGUGGAUUAUGGCCCCUAUUCUUUGUGUUUUCGAAGGAUUAUUUAGCUAAAAUCUAAUGAGUUGAAGGAAGAUCAAUUUCAAUACCACAUAUUCUGUAGACUGGAAAUCUGGAAUACCUCCAAUGGCUUCGAGUGCUAUUUGGAAUCACAGCUGACUCUUACAGUUUUGUGAUAGAUCUAUUUGACAACUGCAAAGUGUCCCUCUUCUUUAUGGUACCAACCAUCAACCAUCAUCAUUUGAGCAUCCUUUUGCUCAUCUCCAGUUAGCCAGCCAUUGGUUAAUUACAUCACCCCAUUUUGGAUAGGAAAAUGUUCACCUAUGUACUGCUGGAAAAUUGCCAUUCCCUACAAUUUGUCCAGUCUUUCCAUGCAUCCAUAGACCAUCCAUAGACUUAAUAUUAUUUUAAACCCUUCGUCCCUGCACUUUACCGUCUUCGUCUGUGCACGGUCUACGGUUCAUCGUCGCUUCGCCAGGUCUUCGCAUCGUUUCCGUUUCGUCGCCAGUUUCUCCAUCGUCUCAUAGCCGCCUUCGCCCUCGUCUCAUCGCCACCUUUGCCCUCGUCUCAUCGCCACCUUCGCCCUCGUCUCAUCGCCACCUUCGCCCUCGUCUCAUCGCCACCUUCGCCCUCGUCUCAUCGCCACCCUGGCCUUUGCCAUCGUUUCAUCGCCAUCUUUGCCUUCGUUGUAUCUCCGUCCUUCGCAACGAUGGAUCAAUCAGAUCCAGAAAACAAAACAAACUUAUGGCGAUUGAGCGUGACGUCACCAUGGAACUUCUCGGGUAUUGUUUUGUUUUGUAUUGUUGUGUUGUGUAUUGUAUAGUUAACCCGUUGGCUGCCACCCCGUUUGCUCCCAUUUUUUUUUUUAGCUUUAGGGACCGAGCGCACUGCUCUGCCCCAUGGCCAUGGGGUAGGGCAGUGCUCAGCCGCAAGGCGGUUAGGCAAUGCACCAGUAGGGAAUUCUCUUUGUUCGAUGCGGUGAUGGUUUCCUGAGGGUGUGCAUUCCCUGUAAAGGUUUCCAUUGCCGUGUCAGCCCGGACUUGUCUUAGGACAAGUCCUCCUUGGUCGGCGAUCCUUCAGACGCGAGACGUAGCUACUGUAGUUUAAGCAACCUACGAGUUGCAUGGUUUGGCAGCCAACGGGUUAACUAAUUUGUUGUAUAUGUAUGUUUGUAUGUAUGUAUGUAUGUAUUUAUAUUUGUAAUUAUAUAUGUAUUGUGUUGUAUGUAAAAUAGUGGUGGAAUUGUGGGUGGAGGAGGGACAAUAAACAAUUCUUUCGUUAA